CCAGUAGAGUCAACAAAGAUUCUUCUGUUUUUUUCAGGUGCUGUGUUCUACCUAGAGUUCAAUAAAGAAGACAUCCUUCACAUCUGCAUGUUUUUGUUGGGAUCUGCAUUCUGUUUCCUUGGAGUGUAUCUCAUCACCAAAAACAGGAAAAAGACAAAGAACUUUGAGCCAUAUGUGACUAUGGAAAUGGUUGAUGGAGUCCCAACUAUUCAUGACAAAGGCCUGGUUGUUCAGCCAGACUCCAAUGGCUCUUUCUCCUAUGGAGCCCUGGUCAACAAUGAUGGAGCUGCUCCUGCUACACAUUCGGUCAACCUGGAACUAACACCGGUCCGCUCCAGGUCCACUGAAGCAUCUCAUGGCCAGCCAGACCUAAAGAGAGAUUAAAACAGAGUAUUUUCCCCUUCAUUCAACAAAAAGACAACAUACAAGGAGCUUGGAAGGCCAUGAUGGGUAUGUUCAGCUCUUUUCACAUGUACUCUCACAUGUACUCUGGGCCAACCUCCAGCCCAGUAGAGGGUGUUAACUGGGUGCCUUACACUCCAUUCACAUGCUUUGCUUUCUAUAAUCUCUUCACCAAAACCUGACCAUAAGUAGCAUUCCUUUUUGAGAAGAUGUCGGCUGUUAUCAUUCCAAAAUGAAGAGAGGAAACCUGAAGCUGCUGGAGGUUUUAUUUGGAUUCACAGCAGAGCAGAUGUUGUGCCUUGGAGCUUACUGCCUUCACUGUGUUAGAAUGGAGAUCUAAGGACUCACUCCCAUGACUGUUAAGCUAUUCUUCGCUCAUUAAUGACGACAUUAAGGGGUCUGUUCUUCCAUUGAGGAUUUUGAAGUUACUCCUCAACAUUAUAAAAUAUAGCUGCAGACUUGCCAAUGAACUUUUUGACCUUAAAUAUCUGCCUCUAACUUUUUUAUUAUGUGAGCGGUUUUUACUCCGCAAUUUUGCCUCCUGCUGUAGGAAUUUCAUUGUAUUACUACUUUCCUGAUGUGAGCAAACAAUGGGGGGCACAUUUUCUAAUUUAUUAUAAUGUAUUUAUCUAUUGAAGUUAGCUCUUAGUGUGCCUUAACAAGUCGCAGUACACUGGAAGUUACUGUAAUAACUGUGAGGUGUUACAUGACCCAGGAGGGUAAUUCAAGCAUCACCGUAGCAGUUUAGUUGUAAACAAAAAGUUACUGUAAUCUGUUUAUUGAAAUCUGAACCCAUUGAAAAGAAGGUGGUCACUUAAAAAGAAGAGAAUUAAAUUAUACAAGCCUCUUGAAAUUACUGAUGAACUGUACAACUAUUUAAAUGUGAACUGUACGUUUAAGGUUGGGUAGUCUACUGUUUGUGUACAUUUUGAAAAUAAUUUUGCUUUCCUUUUUAACCUGAUAACCUUGAAGUUUCUGAUGACAAACAAAUCAAGAAAUAAAAGUUAACAUUUGCAUAUACAUUAUGUUUUUGGAAAUGUAACCUUCCCAUCAAAAUGUUACAAAGAUAAUUCUGCGGUUUGUGAAUCAUCCUUUAUUAUUAAACUUGACAAAAAAACACUCCAUAAUGAUUGCAUAGAUUGGAUAGACUCCACAGCUACAUACUGUAUGUAAUGCAUUUAUGCACUGUUAAAAAAGCAGAACCUUUCCACAGUAUUCAUCAUGUAGUAAUUAUAGUUCUGUCGCCUGUGGUUUGUUGUGUGUGCAAAAAGUCAUUACAUCCCUGUAUAAACCAGCCAGUCUUAACAAAACUGCCGUUAAUGGAACCUAAACUGUCCAGUCAAAUAUCUAGCUUUUUUCCCCUUGAGAAUGAUAUGCAAUGUUGUGUCAAACUUAAUGUAACCUAAUUCUGAUAUACUAUUUAUCAAAAGUUUUAACUCUGAGAAUUGAUGAAAAGAAAAACGUUUUCUCAGUUUUAAUCAAUGUAAAUAAUACUACUCUAACUUACCAUAUACUGCCCGUCUUUUCUGUACGAACUGAUGAUUGAUUUAACGAUAAAUGAAAAACAAAAUAUAUAACUCACUGCAUUGUCAGACAACAUUCAUACACUGUGUCAUAGCACACUGUAUAAAUCUUUCAGAAAGAUAACCUUUCAGAGAUGUAAAGAGGUAACUUUCACCUCAGAAAACUGCCCUACAUCAUUCUUUUGAAGUUAUAAUCAUCAAUUCUGCAAUUUGGUGUGUGAAAAAACCUACUUUUGACAUGCUGUUGCUUCAUGUUGCUUGAAAAAAACUGAAACACUUGAAACUUAAAUUCGCUGUAGAAAAAUUGAUGUACCUUAUUUUGUGUAGGCCUAUGGAUGCAACAUAUAUUCGACUUUUUUUUAACUUGAAUUGUUACAUUUUUAUUUCACAUAGGUAAAUUCGGAGCAAAAAAAUUCAGAUACAUGAUUUUCAAAGUAGUUAUUUUCAAUGCUAUAAAUUCGCUGUCUAAUAAAAUUCAAAUACUUC